GGGUCUGAAUGCAGAGGUGUUUACAACUUACUGAACAUAACCAGUUACAGAUUUCUUUGUUCCUUCUCCACUCCCACUGUUUCACUUGACUAGCCUUAA
ensembl:misc_RNA Y_RNA Y RNA